CGGACGGGUGAGUAACGCGUGGACAACCUACCCCGCACUGGGGGACAACAGCCGGAAACGGCUGCUAAUACCGCAUAUGCGCACGGCCCCGCAUGGGGCCGCGCGGAAAGCGCAUGCGGUGCGGGAUGGGUCCGCGUCUGAUUAGCUUGUUGGCGGGGUAACGGCCCACCAAGGCGACGAUCAGUAGCCGGCCUGAGAGGGUGGACGGCCACAUUGGGACUGAGACACGGCCCAG
rnacentral:rRNA from 1 species